GAUGAACGCUGGCGAGAUGCCUUACACAUGCAAGUCGUACGGGGAUUUUUAAUUCAAGUGGCGGACGGGUGAGUAACACGUAAGAAUUUGCCUUUAGGAGGGGGACAACAACUGGAAACGGUUGCUAAUACCCCAUAUGCUUUCGAGUGAAAUGGAUUUUUCCGUCCUAAAGAAGAAGCUUGCGGCUGAUUAGCUUGUUGGUGAGGUAAUGGCUCACCAAGGCGACGAUCAGUAUCUGGUUUGUAGAGGAUGAUCAGACACACUGGAACUGAGACACGGUCCAGACUCCUACGGAGGCAGCA
rnacentral:rRNA from 1 species